AUGUCUCCCACUGCUCUUGGCUGCUCUUGUCCACGAAGUUGGGGUGAGGCCGGGACAAGCCCUACUUCCGUGCCCCAGUUUGCCUUGGCUCUCGAGACCCCAGACCUCAAGUUCCCUGCCUGGGGUCUGGUCAAACCCACCCUGAGGGCCUCCGUCUGCCAGAGGGCUUGGCAGGCUCUAUCCACCCCUGCCCUGUGCCCGUCUGCCGGCUUCUCGAAGCUCAGCAGUCAGCAGAGUGUCUGGUGCCAGCCUGGACAGCUCCUGGGGAUGCCAGCUGUGUCGCGGCACCUCCCUGCCUCUGCAACCGCUCUGGCCCGUGUCUGGCCCUUCGGAGUGUGAAAGGAAGGAAGAAACAGUCCGUGUAAAGGAAGGUAAAAUGCGUUAGAGCCCCAAAAAGUGGGGGGGGGGCUCUGGGAGGGGCUCCCGGGAAGCUGAGUGCAGCUGAGACUCCAGGUUUCUCCACCCCAAGGCAAUUCCUGGAGGGAUGGCCAGAGGCAGCCGGCCGGCUUGUCCAGCUCUGGGCAGGAGGCACCUACGGAGGUUUCCAGAGCCUGGGCGGCCAGGAGUGGGGGUCCUGGGGCAGGGAGGGCAGAGCCAGGCCAGGCCAGCAGCGUGGAGUUCAGUCCCACAGGUGCUGGGGAGCCACCGAGGGCUGUAGGCAGCCCCGCGAUGGGGUCAAACCCUCGCUGGAGAAGGGGCUGCAGGGGAGGGUGGGCCCAGGGCCGGUGGGGCAGACCCAGCGCAGGCCAAGGCGGUGGAGCUGGCAGCCAAGUGCGUGCACAGAUGGCGAGACACUCACUGGGUGGGAGGCCAUGGCAGGGGCCAUCUGACCAUGCUGGACAUAGAAAAGCAAAGAGGGCCUCCUCCAUCUGUGCAGACUUUGGGCCAGGCCCACACCCAGGCCACCAGCACGUUCCCCUGCCCUUCCUGCCAAGGGACACAGGCACUGUUUUCCCAUCUCUGCAGGGCAGUCCUGGGUAGAGGGGCCCGAGAGCUCCGUGAAGCAUCCCCCCCACCCCGCCAUGCCCCGUGUGUGUGUGUGUAUGUGUGUGUGUGGGGGUGAGGUUGGCAGGGACAGGAGGGAGGAGCAGGAACGGGGGGAGCUGCCCAUGUCUGGGCUGUCCUGAUAGAUCAGACAGGUAGUGAGCUCACUGCCUAGGGAGGGAUGUAACCUCUCCUCGAGUUUCUACUCUCCUCUCUUACUCCCUUCUCCAGGGACGUGGGUGGGGGACAUUCUGGGGAAUGGGUUCUGGUGUCUGGAAGGGCCCUGGUGGCCUGCUGCCCCACCUGGCCUCCCCUGACCCUCUUCUAUCUGUGCUGGUACAGGGCACUUGUCCUG
rnacentral:lncRNA from 12 species